UUUUUUUUUUUUUUUUUUUUUUUUUUUUUUUGGCCAAGUCCGUGGCAUGUGGGAGUUCCUGUGCUAGGGGUUGAAUCCGUGCCACAAUAGGGACAAUGGGACAAGGGUUAGAGAUCCUUAACCUGCUAAGCCACCAUGGAAAUCCACUAGUUUACGUCUACGUCAAAAUUUUUUUACAAGAGCAGGUUCACCUUGAUUUACUAUUUCAUAACCUGAUUUUUUGUCUACACAUCAUGACAAUGAUCUUUUUUUUUUCCUAUUUUUGGCCGGCUUGAGGCAUAUGGAGUCCCCAGGCCAGGGAUCAGACCCAGGCCACAGUCAAAACCUAAGCUGAAGCUGUGGCAAUGCUGGAUGCUUAACCCACUGUGCCGGGCUGGGAUUAAACCUGCGUCCCAGUGUUGCCAAGAAGCCACCAAUCCCAUUAGGCCACAGAGGGAACUCCAACAAUGAUCAUUUUACUAUCUGCUUCAACAUCCAUUUUAAUGGCUGCAUGUUCUCUCAUUAAGUACACAUAUCAUAAUAUAUAUAAUUAAUCUCUUAUUGCCCGAUACUAGACCGUUUUCAAUUACUUGCUAUAUCAAUUUUAGUUUAUUUUGGACUAGCACUUUCACUCAUUUCAUUCAUUCAUUUCAUUUGAACGAUCACCCACAGUUCAAAAGAGCCCCAUUCGGAUCAAGAGAUGAUUAUUUUAAGAUUCCACCUUCUUUAACACUGGAUGAGAAAUAAAAUACUCAUGUAGAUGUUUCAGUAGAGGCUUGAUUUUGUAAUAUUUCUUUUUUUAAUCCUUUUUUUGGCUGGACCCAUGGCAUGUGGAAGUUCCCAGGCCAGGGAUGACACCUGUGCCAUAGCAGCAACUCACGCUGCUACAGGGACAAUGCCAGAUACUUAACCCGCUGCACCACAAGAGAACUUCAGAUUUUGUAAUACUUCUUCAUUUAUAUAGGUUCUGUUGAAACCUUUCCUCCCUUUUUUUGGGCCAUGCUUGUGGCAUGCAGAAGUUCCAGGGCCAGGGAUCAAACCCAAGCCACACCAGUUCGAUCCCUGGCCUUGCUCAGUGGUUUAAGGACCCAGUGUUGCUGUGAGCUAUGGUGUAGGUCACAGGCACUGCUCAGAUCCUGAGUCACUGUGGCUGUGGCGUAGGCCAGCAGCUACACCUCCGAUUCGACUCCUAGCCUGGGAACCUUCAUAUGCCUUGAGUGCAGCCCUAAAAAAAGACAAGAAAGAAAAACAAACAAACUAGGAUGUAGCCAGGCCUAAAAAAGAAAAAACUACUAACACAUCAAUAACAUAGGUGAAGCUGAAAAACACCAUGCUAGGUGGAAGAAGCUAGGCACAUAAGGCUACAUACAGAAUUAUUUCAUUUCUACAACGUCCUCGGAAAAGGCAAAGUGUGGGGACAGGAAUCAGGUCAGCACUGGGGGUGAGCGGAGAGGACUGACUAUAAAGAUGCAUGAGGGAACUUUUCGGGGUGAUGGAAAUAUUUUAAAUCUUGAUUGCGGUGGUGGUUACAGGACUGCAUACAUUUUUCAAAACUCACUGGACCGUACACUUAAAAGGGGUGAAUUUUACUGUAUGCAAAUCAUGCCUUAAUGAACUUGACACCCCUCAAAACAACAAAGAAGAGUGCUGCCCCCCAUGAGAUAUUAGCCAUCAGGUAUUCCCUGUAACACUUUUCACAGAAAUUCUGAAACAUCUUUGUGAAACAUGGCAAAUG
ensembl:lncRNA